rnacentral:rRNA from 1 species
AUUGAACGCUGGCGGCAUGCUUUACACAUGCAAGUCGAACGGCAGCGCGGGCUUCGGCCUGGCGGCGAGUGGCGAACGGGUGAGUAAUACAUCGGAAUGUGCCCAGACGUGGGGGAUAGCCCGGCGAAAGCCGGAUUAAUACCGCAUACGACCUGUGGGUGAAAGCGGGGGAUCUUCGGACCUCGCGCUAUUGGAGCGGCCGAUGGCAGAUUAGCUAGUUGGUGGGGUAAAGGCCUACCAAGGCGACGAUCCGUAGCUGGUCUGAGAGGACGACCAGCCACACUGUGACUGAGACACGGCCCAGACUCCUGCAGGAGGCAGCAGUGGGGAAUUUUGGGCGAUGGGCGAAAGCCUGAUCCAGCAAUGCCGGGUGUGUGAUGAAGGCCUUCUGGUUGUAGAGCACUUUUGGCGUGAGCGAAAAGGACUGUGCCAAUACCGCAGUUCGAUGACGGUACCCGCAGAAUAAGCACCGGCUAACUACGUG